rnacentral:sRNA from 1 species
AACGGCGUCCCGGUUCACUCACCUCCCUGAGCGAACCCCCGAUGUCAAACCCCUCCCCAGGUUUGGCAUCGCCCGCCCCGAGAGCUCCCCCCUGGCUCUCGGGGCAUUUUA